UACGAAGGGGGCGAGCGUUGUUCGGAUUUACUGGGCGUAAAGGGCGCGCAGGCGGCUCAUUUUGUCAGGCGUGAAAGCCCCGGGCUUAACCUGGGAACUGCGUUUGAUACGGAUGGGCUAGAGUUCGGGAGAGGAGAGUGGAAUUCCCAGUGUAGAGGUGAAAUUCGUAGAUAUUGGGAAGAACACCGGUGGCGAAGGCGGCUCUCUGGACCGAGACUGACGCUGAGGCGCGAAAGCGUGGGGAGCAAACAGG
rnacentral:rRNA from 1 species